UACGAAGGGGGCUAGCGUUGUUCGGAAUCACUGGGCGUAAAGGGCGCGUAGGCGGCUUUAUAAGUCGGGGGUGAAAGCCUGUGGCUCAACCACAGAAUUGCCUUCGAUACUGUAGAGCUUGAGACCGGAAGAGGUAAGUGGAACUGCGAGUGUAGAGGUGAAAUUCGUAGAUAUUCGCAAGAACACCGGUGGCGAAGGCGGCAUCCUGGACCGGUAUUGACGCUGAGACGCGAAAGCGUGGGGAGCGAACAGG
rnacentral:rRNA from 1 species